CACGUAGGGCGCAAGCGUUGUCCGGAAUUAUUGGGCGUAAAGAGCUCGUAGGCGGUCUGUUACGUCUGCUGUGAAAACCCUGGGCUUAACCCUGGGCUUGCAGUGGAUACGGGCAGACUAGAGGCAGGUAGGGGAGAAUGGAAUUCCCGGUGUAGCGGUGAAAUGCGCAGAUAUCGGGAGGAACACCAGUAGCGAAGGCGGCACUCUGGGCCGGUACUGACGCUGAGGAGCGAAAGCGUGGGGAGCGAACAGG
rnacentral:rRNA from 1 species